AGAGUUUGAUCCUGGCUCAGGACGAACGCUGGCGGCGUGCCUAAUACAUGCAAGUCGAGCGGACAGAUGGGAGCUUGCUCCCUGAUGUUAGCGGCGGACGGGUAAGUAACACGUGGGUAACCUGCCUGUAAGACUGGGAUAACUCCGGGAAACCGGGGCUAAUACCGGAUGGUUGUUUGAACCGCAUGGUUCAAACAUAAAAGGUGGCUUCGGCUACCACUUACAGAUGGACCCGCGGCGCAUUAGCUAGUUGGUGAGGUAACGGCUCACCAAGGCAACGAUGCGUAGCCGACCUGAGAGGGUGAUCGGCCACACUGGGACUGAGACACGGCCCAGACUCCUACGGGAGGCAGCAGUAGGGAAUCUUCCGCAAUGGACGAAAGUCUGACGGAGCAACGCCGCGUGAGUGAUGAAGGUUUUCGGAUCGUAAAGCUCUGUUGUUAGGGAAGAACAAGUACCGUUCGAAUAGGGCGGUACCUUGACGGUACCUAACCAGAAAGCCACGGCUAACUACGUGCCAGCAGCCGCGGUAAUACGUAGGUGGCAAGCGUUGUCCGGAAUUAUUGGGCGUAAAGGGCUCGCAGGCGGUUUCUUAAGUCUGAUGUGAAAGCCCCCGGCUCAACCGGGGAGGGUCAUUGGAAACUGGGGAACUUGAGUGCAGAAGAGGAGAGUGGAAUUCCACGUGUAGCGGUGAAAUGCGUAGAGAUGUGGAGGAACACCAGUGGCGAAGGCGACUCUCUGGUCUGUAACUGACGCUGAGGAGCGAAAGCGUGGGGAGCGAACAGGAUUAGAUACCCUGGUAGUCCACGCCGUAAACGAUGAGUGCUAAGUGUUAGGGGGUUUCCGCCCCUUAGUGCUGCAGCUAACGCAUUAAGCACUCCGCCUGGGGAGUACGGUCGCAGACUGAACUCAAUGAAUUGACGGGGGCCCGCACAUCGGUGAAGCAGGUGGUUUAAUUCAAAGUACGCGAAAGAACUUA
rnacentral:rRNA from 1 species